AGUGAAUAGAUACCCUGGUAGUCCCAGCCGUAAACGAUGCUCGCUAGGUGUCAGGCAUGGCGCGACCGUGUCUGGUGCCGCAGGGAAGCCGUGAAGCGAGCCACCUGGGAAGUACGGCCGCAAGGCUGAAACUUAAAGGAAUUGGCGGGGGAGCACAACAACGGGUGGAGCCUGCGGUUUAAUUGGACUCAACGCCGGACAACUCACCGGGGGCGACAGCAAUAUGUAGGCCAAGCUGAAGACUUUGCCUGAAUCGCUGAGAGGAGGUGCAUGGCCGUCGCCAGUUCGUACUGUGAAGCAUCCUGUUAAGUCAGGCAACGAGCGAGACCCGUGCCCACUGUUACCAGCAUGUCCUGGUACGGA
rnacentral:rRNA from 1 species